rnacentral:lncRNA from 1 species
AAUAAAGAGAAUUUGGGUGGGAGAAAAUCUAAGAUUUAUAAGAAAAGCUUUUCAUUAUUUCUAAUGCUCUGGACUAGAGGUGAAAAUCGCCUUCAAAACCCACACAUCAUUAUUAAAACUACAACUUUGAGAGUUUUGUGAGGUGCCCAUUCCGAAGACAACCGCUACUCAAGGCCUGGAAUUUUCUGCCGCGAUUGUGCUGUACACUGAGAGACUGCAGGGAUGUUCACAGACGAUGUCCACCUCUCGGAUCUUGAGGUCUAGAUAAGAAACCUGCAGAUUGUGGCGUGCACGGGGAAAUCAUCGCCUUCAAAGAGCCGUCCAAGCCCUCGCU